rnacentral:snRNA from 1 species
GGGCUCACUUCAGCGGCACAUAUCCUAAAACUGGAAUAAUACAGAGAAGAUUAGCAUGGCUCCUGAGCAAGGAAGACAUGCAAGUUCAUGAAGCACUUCAUAUUUUU